AAUGUGCUAAUGAAUCUCCUUUAAAAGGAUGGUAAUGGGAAACAAAUAAAGAAUUGCAGGGUCAUUCACAUGCACAUCCUUGUUCAUCUUCCUACCCUGAAUUGGCUGAGAGUGAGAAAAACGUGUGUACACACACACACACACACACACUUUCCAGCCAGAUGAUUUAUUUACGGAAGAUUCACAUGAACUAAAUUCCUGCCCAAGAAAUGUUUAUGUCCCUUGGAGAUGGUCACCACAAAAUCUGGCCUAUGACAGGCAGCUUUCUAAAGAAUCCAUUGCUCUUGGCCACUCACUCAACAAAGACACGAUGUAAGUGUGAAGUCAGUGGCGUGCCUUCCACGUGACAAGUGCUACACAAGACUCAGAUGUACAGAGGUGAAGAGGAGGCCGUCACUGUCCAUGGGAAGCCCUGCUCUGGGGUGAGAGUGUGUAAGCUGUAGGGUGAGGGCUGACCUGGGGGACGGACCUGCAUCCAGCGAUGCCACACACUCAGUUGUUGUAUCUCGUGUGUGUUUUCUCACUUUCUCUGAUGAACCUUUCGAGUUCUUGGAUGGUCUUGUUCCGUUCCUUCUGCCUGCACACAUCUCAACACUCUACCAUCUGUCCAUGUGGACGGAUCCCCAAACGGCUCCAUCCCUGACUUCUCGGCGGAGCCCAGCACCUCUUCCUCCUCCUGCCUGUUCUUUUUAAUAUCUUAUUCCCUACAAAGAAACAUUACGUUCUUGGAGGGCAAGCACCCUAUUUUUUACCUUCCUUUCUUCAGCCCCAUGGUGCUCGGCACAGGGUUAUAACACUCCGUAUGUAGCAAAUGACACCCGUGUUAAUGAAUGAAUGCUGGGAUCUGAAACCCUGCAGUGUAGACCAAAAGCACUGAAACCCUGCGGUGUAGACCAAAAGCACUGGUUCAUCUCCACAGAAGGACGGACAGUGGAGCCCCGUCCACCAGCCGGCACCGAAGCAAAGUUUCCAGGACAAAGCCCACAGGAUGGAGCUGGCGGAAAGGUGUCGCUGCACGGGUGCGUGGGCUGCAGUUGAAUGUGACCGUGGCAGUGGCCAACCACAGGCUUGUUGCCCGCAAGGGAAUGCAGCAAGCUGGACCAGAAGUCAAAGCUCCAGGGAGGGGCACUUUGCUCCUCUUUUGACGGCUCCAAGCCAGCGUCCUCUGGAUCCAUCCAGCUGGGGAAGCAGAGAGGAGGUCACACUAGAAACAGCUCUGUUCCAACCAGAUCCGAACUCGACCACGUGCAAAGUGAAAUUACCAAGAGGUGUUUACGGUGGUGGUGAUCUCGAAAAAUAA
rnacentral:lncRNA from 1 species